CCCAUCACUCCCACCGUGCCUAGCUCUGGACCACCAUCACUCCCACCGUGCCUAGCUCUGGACCACCAUCACUCCCACCGUGCCUAGCUCUGGACCACCAUCACUCCCACCGUGCCUAGCUCUGGACCACCAUCACUCCCACCGUGCCUAGCUCUGGACCACCAUCACUCCCACCGUGCCUAGCUCUGGACCACCAUCAUUCCCACCGUGCCUAGCUCUGGACCACCAUCAUUCCCACCGUGCCUAGCUCUGGACCACCAUCAUUCCCACCGUGCCUAGCUCUGGACCACCAUCAUUCCCACCGUGCCUAGCUCUGGACCACCAUCACUCCCACCGUGCCUAGCUCUGACCACCAUCACUCCCACCGGGCCUAGCUCUGACCACCAUCACUCCCACCGGGCCUAGCUCUGACCACCAUCACUCCCACCGGGCCUAGCUCUGACCAUCACUCUCAUCAUGCCUAAAUCUGACCACCAACAAUCUCGCUAUACUGCACAUAGCUUUACAAACCUACCAAAACAUGUGGCUUACCAAGCCCUAAAGCAGCCCACCACCACUUUGUGCAACUAACCCAUAGCAUUUGGAGUCCUGACCCCUUUUGUAUUACAUCUAGCUUUACAACCCCUCACUGUGUGCUUAUCCUCAGAUACCUCUUCCCCAACAGUAAGCCAAAUCAAACUCUUAUCCCCUGUGUCAUUCAUAGCCAAAAAACCUCUGCCCUGAACCUUCCAAGGUCACUUGUAGAUAAAACCUACAUGGUGCAACUUACAGCUCAGAGUACAUGUACAACCCUGUGUCACAAAGACUCCUAUAACUCCCCCAGUCUGUCCAUCCAUGACGCACCUAAUCAGAAACUUAAGCCAUAAGCUCACACAAUGAUAUAGCUAACUGGACGUCUCUCCACACUGCACCUAACCUCAAAACACCAAACUCCUAGCUUCCAACCAACACUAAAAACCAACCACCAGCCACAAUCGUAGGACACAACCAGUCACUUGUAUAUAUAUAUAAAAAGACGGACAGCAUGAGGCACUGUUUACAACAGCCAGCAGUGGUAUCAUGGUGACUAAAGUAUAAGUACCCUCAAUAUUAUCCGGCAGGGGGAGCUGUGCACAUAAAUUUUCCCAGUACAGCAGCCAGCAGGGGGAGCUGUGGAGUUACU